UCUGUGUCGAGGGGAGGAGGAAGCGAGUAACAGACAACCCUCAGCAAGUCUCUGUUCAUGGGGGUCGGCGUCCUUCUAUUAUGAGGUCUCGUAUAGUUGCUUUCUGUCUAGCAAUCGCCUCUAGCAGCACAAAAGGAGGUUGUUUUCGUUACCAUGUACAUGGAUAUUCUGGAACAGGAGGUGGAGCACCUCAGUGCUGAGGUGAUGCGGCUGCGCCUCAUGGUGCACCGUGUGACACAGGCGAUGGAGGCACCUCUACCUGAUCCACACCACCGCAGCAGCCACGUAGACCCACGGCAGGUGGCACCGCUUUCUAAAGCCACCAGCUCCGGUACCCCGAAAGGCCUACAAGUUACCUUGGACUCGUACAAAGAGAUACUACCGCUGGCGCAACUGCUUCUGGCACAGCAGCAGCAGCAGCAACGCAACGAUGCCGAAGUCUCCCACGGCCGGCGAAGACGGCAGCCGUCACGCCAUCACCGCCAUCCAAGCAGACAUCUCCGACCUGCCGCAUCUCGCAGAGCCGGCUCAUCUAGUUCUCGAUCCAGCCCUUGUGCAGCGCCAUCAAGGAGCCAGUCACAGAGGUCCUCUGACGCCCCGCUUACCAUAUCCUCGUCGCACAUUCAGGGCAACAAGCCGACACGCUUCCUGUCGCACACGAAUGCAGGACCGGCACGCACAUCCUCGCCGUCUUUGACCACCACCUCGUCCUCUCCGACGCUUGUGGUGCUGAAAAAGGAUGGCCACGGGAAGCGCACUAAGCCCGCACUGGCGCAGGGGCAAGGUGACACCCUCUUCGCCGGCGAGCGAAGCACCAGCGCGAACCCCAUCCAUGUUGCGCCAACACGAGAGGAGCCACCAUCGGCAAACGCGACGGCGCCGACUCCCAUAGCGACCUCUGUCGUGAGCCGUCUACGAGCGCAGCGGCAACAAGAAGCGGCAAACGAGCAGGAGAGGACCCCAGACCGCAGCAAUGUCAUGCCGAUGGCAACGUCGCCGACCCGGUCGGCAACCACAUCGCCGUCACGAUCAGAAGUGCGUCGCACGUAUGUCAUGAACGCGACCACAGUGGCGAGUCCCCGGAAGAAAGUUGCCCCAGCUACGGAGCCGGCAGCGGCCGCCUCUCUGCUGCACCAGUCGGCCAGCAUCACUUCAAGCAAACGGCAGCUUUCGCCGUCAGAACAGGAGGCCGAGCGCCGCGCUGCUUGGCAUUCAUCAGAAGGGACAGGCCAGUGCAGCCUCUCGACCUUUCCCCCCGGCUGCGAGGCACCGGGCGCGCUGUCCGAGUCGCCCGUGUCCAGCAAGCGCGCCUCCCUGCAAGCCGGCUCCUUGCAAUACGGUAGUGCUGCGAGCAGCAUCAUCCAUAGCGAGCAGGGCAUAUACAACUACAGCGCCCUGUCGUCGGCCUACAACUCCCCUGCGUUGAGUCAUGUGCCGGAGGACGCAACAGCAGCAACGAGGGCGGUCCAAGCUGCGUCGACGCCAUCGCCGGCACCGUCAGCGCAAGCCCCCUCUUCGCAGCAGCGUCACAACCAGCUGGGUCUGCAAACGAGCGCACUGUCGCCUGCACAGGAAUAUGCGUCAUCCUCGAGCAGCACAUCUGAGGAAAGCACUGAGGGGGAUGCGGCAGAGCUGCAAAAGGCGCUGCAUUCAGUGAUCCCGAGCCCGUACAGAGCAGGCGUGAUCCUCGGCGGCCGCCAACCCAUUAGCGUGCAGUCCAUGAACGUUCCCUCUGCCUUCGUCACGGCUUCGACCAGGGCGUGUGCCGCUGGAAGCAACCCAGCUGCCGCGGCGAUGCUCGGUCGUGGCGACCACGCGAGCGCUGCGUCGCGGGCGAAUCUGCUGCAGGCGUUGCGGCCGAUACCCUCCGACAGCAGCGCAUCCACAUCGUCCUCAUCCAACAUUGCGGCCUUUUGCCAUCCCUCGCUGCGUCAGUCCACCGAAGCGCACCACCGCGACUCGAGCUUCCACAACUACUCAGACUCGGCCUCGUCGCAACCGUCAUCGCAGAACGCCGGGACACGUUUCUCGGAGGAGUCGCCUGCAGGCCCCUACACGUCCCAGAGCCAGGAUGCGUACAGCCUCGCUUCCUACUCGCUUCAGCACUCUAUCCAGCGCUCCUCGCGACGGAAAAGUAGCGACGCCUCGCAGAACUCUUCGCGGGCGCUUUCGCACUUCAUGUGCCCACCCCAGCUCGCGCAGAGCGUUUCCCUCGGCACCUCGUCGGUGGGCCAUGUAGGUUCCAUCUCGGCUGGUGGGUACUACUACGGCUACAACUUGGGUCUCGGCAGCCCGAGUCAGCGAAGCCUGGCGCUUUCCCCCACUGCCGAGGCAUAGCCUGUCGUGCGGUGCGAGGAGCGCGCCAGUACGUGGAGCUCGUCACCACUGCGCGCAACGAAGGAUUGAUACACCUACUCAUCGAAGAUGACGGUAAAUGGUCAUUUUCUUGGGAUCGCGCGCGGCUGCCCUAUGUUGAGGCGCAGGUGGAAUAGACCUGCUCGAACGCACCAGCUGGUGCUGCAACCUUGCCCUGUUUGCUUCUUUUCUCCUCUCCCUGCGGGGCGCACCACACACACACACAGAGCAGUCCUCCUCCUCUUGGCCUGCCUUGCAUCCCUGUACCUUCCUUCUUUCUGCCCCUCCCCUUCCCGUACCCCGCUCUUUCUCUCUCUCCCUGCGGCUCUUUGCCAG
rnacentral:misc_RNA from 1 species